CAUCACAGAAAAAUAUAAAGAAAGAUUUAGAAUUUAUAAAAGCUGGAAAAAACAUGGAUGACUUCCACUCGUUUUAAAUAAAUCAAGUAAAUUAUUUACAUUAGCUACUUAGCUAAACUUACUGAGCUUUCUUACAAUAGAAACGAAAAU